ACAAGGUUCUACAGAGAUUCGUCUUGACAUGACAAGAAGCGAUGGAACAACAGGUCAUGAAACAUGUCCAGGCUUUAAGUUAACAGAAGGAACACGUUAUACACUAAACAUUGAGUCAUGCACAAGUUCUGGAAUGAGCAGAACAUUGUAUGGCUUUGAGUAUAAUAAUCAACAGUCAUUUUCAACUUACGACCGUGAUCUGGGCAUUAGUGUUACGGACUGCGCCGUGAGGGAACAUGGAGCCUGGUGGUAUGAUGCAUGUACUCGUGUCAAUCUAAAUGGAUACUAUGCGACGCCAGGCACGGAAUGUGAAUUUCCCGGUGCCUACAUAGGUGAUUGUGGACACAUUCAUUAUAGGUUUGAUGGCCGUUUGUCAUUGAGAACGUCAUCAAUGAUGAUAAGAAGAAAAUAAGAUAAGUAAUCAAAAGAAGAUUUCAUAAAUUCAAAGAAUUGAAUGGUCGUACUCAAAAGAACAUUUUUUUUAAUUAUCAGGUUUUUUUUUUUUUGUAGCAGGCAUGGUUUAAUAAAAGUUUUAUCUCUGAUUGACGUAUGCUGUAGAUCAUUUACAUUUUCAGCUAUUUUCAGUUAACAGAUUGGUGACUAAGCAUCACAGAUAGCAUAUUACCACGUGGCAGCAUAUUAUCAUGUGACAGCAUAUUAUCACGUUUCAACAUUAAAUCACGUCACCGAAUAUAACUAUGUUACAUCAUAAAAUAACAGGACAUCAUAUAAUCAGUUGAAAUAGUAUCCUUAUGAGACAAAAUUUAAUCCUUUUUCAGCAGGUAAUCACGUUACAAAACGAAAUGACAAAAUAUCAAACAUUUUUUUUUUUUUGUAAAUCAAACAUUUUGUGUUUGUUUAAAUGUAUUUUUUAUUCUGUUAGAAUUUUUUAAUUUUUUAAACUAUUUUUAAUGAAAAGCUGGAGGCAUUGUCAUAUUUUAUAUUCAACACAUGGUUUUUUGUGUUUUCUACAAUAAAUGUGUUUUAUUUAUACACAAAAAAUAAGUUACUGUACUAGUGAAGACAUUAAAAAAAAAAGCCUAGCAUACGUAAUACGAUCAGUUUAGUUUUAUAAAACAAUGAAAAUAAAAUCAGAAUCAUUUGAUCCUGACCCUGAUCUUUUCUUUGUGAACAAGGGGCCUGACCAAAAGGUGCUAGGCCAAAACAGUUACUAGUAUACAUGCAGUUUCUUAGUCUACAGUCCAUUAAAAUAGUGUCGAAGUUAGACAAGAUGUUAAGUAGCAUGAGGGAAACCACAGGGAUAAGACGCUUGGAUCUGAUAAUAUCCGUCACUGCUACUCCCUCCCCCUUCCUCCAGUCACUGUUACCCCCCCCCCACCCCAAACAAUAAUUAAAGUCAAUUUCUCCAUUUACUAUUUAUAAGAACAAUAAAAUUAGAUAACUUCAUUAUACCUCUAUAGUAUUAGUUAUACAAGAGAAGUCGUAGGGGAAUAAUAUCCAGUGUUUUUUCCAGGAUUUAAGGAUCAUGACCCAUACCCUUGGAAUUUGGAAUUUGAACGAUGGUUUGUUAAAUAUUGGGAAAAAUGCAUGACUUUGUAGUGAUUAAAUAAAUGCAAACAAUCACUGUCUAGGAUAAUAUUUUCAUACGUUUGAGCACCAUAACAUUGAAGAGCCCCUUAUUUAAUUUUUCUAAGAACUUGGUAGUUAAUAUUUUUAUUUUGUAACUUUUAAAUUGGAAUUUUGUCUUGUGGAUUAGAAAAAUAAUAUACUAUAGUCAAUUGGGAAUAUGGCCGAAUAUCGGCUAUAAAAAGGCAAAGAGAAAUUCCUUAAUAUCAAAUCAAAGCGUCUUAUUCCUGUGAGGUAGACAUGAAAUUCUGAAAAAAAAUAAGGUCAUCCUUUCAGAUAUUAAACUAUGGUUUAAUUAUAACUAGACAUUUGACAAAAAAUAGUCCAAUCACUAAUACAAGUAGUUUUGAUAUCAUGUAUUAUCAUUCACCAGUCAAUUACACGUAUCUUGUUGCAUGUUUUCACAUAUCUAUUUUGAUUUUUUAUAUAGUUAUAUCGUUUAUAUUUUUUAUGUGUUUUCAUCGUCUAUGAUUGGUAUGUGAAAAUGGUAAAAACAAUUGUAUAUUGUAUGGUUCUACGUUAAUCGCCUAGAUCAAUACAUGUAUAUACUUUCAUAGUGAAUGGUUGUUCUAUAAGAAAAAUGUAUAACAAUUGUAUAUCAUAAGAAUAAAUAGAGCUAUUGUAGUCACCUGAGCGUUUGGGUCGGCGUAACCACUUCUGUUAAAGCUUUUGUAAUACUUCAAAUAUUUUCAAAGUCCAUUAACAUAUGGCUUUGAAACUUUGAACACUUGUUCACCAUCAUAACCCAACCUGUAGACAGGAGGAGGUAACUGUUUCAAGCAUUUUGACAGAAUUAUUCUCCUCUUUCAACUUUGAAUUUACAUUUAAGUUUGCGUACCACCUCAGAUAUUUUCAUAUUUCAUUGACAUCUUACUUUGAAAUUGAAGGUGAAAUUUUAUACACUUCUUUGUGAGCACAAUAGGACUCUCUCCACGGCCUAUAACAUAGAUUUGUAAAAAAAUAAGUAUUUUAUGAACUUAGAAAUUUUUAAUUAUCAAGGCUCCUUUGCUAUCAAGCACUUAGAAUUGUCGAGCGUUGCUGUCCUACCGACAGCUCUUGUAUAUAUGUUUCUACAUCAUUGUGCUGACAAAUAUAUACUUUCAUGUUCAAUAAUUGUUUAUGUAUGGUUCUACAUCAAAUGUGCUGACAAAUAUAUACUUUCAUGUAGAAUAAUUGUAUUAUGUAUGGAACUACAUCAAAUGUGCUGACAAAUAUAUACUUUCAUGUUGAAUAAUUGUAUUAUGUAUGGUUCUACAUCAAAUGUGCUGACAAAUAUAUACUUUCAUGUUGAAUAAUAGUAUUUUGUAUGGUUCUACAUCAAGUGUGCUGACAAAUAUAUACUUUUAUGUUGAAUAAUUGUAUUAUGUAUGGUUCUACAUCAAGUGUGCUGACAAAUAUAUACUUUCAUGUUGAAAAAUUGUAUUAUGUAUGGUUCUACAUCAAAUGUGCUGGCAAAUAUAUACUUUCAUGUUGAAUAAUUGUAUUAUGUAUGGUUCUACAUUAAAUGUGCUGACAAAUAUAUACUUUUAUGUUGAAUAAUUUUAUUAUGUAUGAUUCUACAUCAAAUGUGCUGACAAAAUAUACUUUCAUGUUGAAUAAUUGUAUUAUGUAUGGUUCUACAUCAAAUGUGCUGACAAAUAUAUACUUUUAUGUUGAAUAAUUGUAUUAUGUAUGGUUCUACAUCAAAUGUGCUGACAAAUAUAUACUUUCAUGUUGAAUAAUUGUAUUAUGUAUGGUUCUACAUCAAAUGUGCUGACAAAUAUAUACUUUUAUGUUGAAUAAUUGUAUUAUGUAUGGUUCUACAUCAAAUGUGCUGACAAAUACAUACUUUCAUGUUGAAUAAUUGUAUAAUGUAUAGUUCUACAUCAAAUGUGCUGACAAAUAUAAACUUUCAUCGUUCAUCAUGUAUAAGUAUUGUGUAAAAACUGUAAAACAAAAUUUAAACAAUUGUCGAUAUAUUUUAUGCUUCUAUGUUAAAUACCUAGACAAAUACAUACUUUCAUGUUGAAUAAUUGUUGUGUGAAAACUGUAAAACAAUUGUAUAUUAUAUGCUUCUGGAUUACAUGCAUAGAAAAAUAUAUACUUUUAUAGUAUAUGGUUAGUAUGUGUACAUUCUAAAACAAUUGUGUUUUGUAUGGUUCUAUAUGAAAUGUAUUGACAAAUAUAUACUUUCGUCGUUCAUGGUGUACAAGUAUUGUGUGAAAACUGUAAAUCUAUUGUAUAUUGUAUGCUUCUUCAUUAAACAUCUAGAAAAAAAAACUGUUGGUGUCUGUAUAUGAUUGCAGUGUGGGGACUUAUAUCGAUUAUCUAUGACUUCUAGAAAAUAAAACUGUUGAAAACGUA